GACGAACGCUGGCGGCGUGCCUAAUACAUGCAAGUUGAGCGCUGAAGGUUGGUACUUGUACCGACUGGAUGAGCAGCGAACGGGUGAGUAACGCGUGGGGAAUCUGCCUUUGAGCGGGGGACAACAUUUGGAAACGAAUGCUAAUACCGCAUAAAAACUUUAAACACAAGUUGUAAGUUUGAAAGAUGCAAUUGCAUCACUCAAAGAUGAUCCCGCGUUGUAUUAGCUAGUUGGUGAGGUAAAGGCUCACCAAGGUGAUGAUACAUAGCCGACCUGAGAGGGUGGGUGGCCACCCUGGGACGGUGACACGCCCCAUUGGGCUUGGGGAGGCAGCAGGAGGGAAACUUCGGCAAGGGGCGGAAGUCUGAGCGAGAAACGCCGAGGGAGUGAGGAAGGUUGUCGGAUCGUAAAACUCGGUUGGUAGAGAAGAACGUUGGUGCGAGUGUAAAGCACAGCAAGUGACGGUAACUACUCAGAAAGCGCCGGCUAACUACGUG
rnacentral:rRNA from 1 species